GGCAAACGUCGCAUCGACCAACAAUUUCCUCUGAGUCUUUUAUUGACUCGGGCCAGUAAUACCCUUGCCUGGCUACUUGCUUCUCCAGCGCUCUGCCGCCCUGGUGCGCUCCGCUUGCCCCCUCGUGCAGGCUUCGUGCGAUGGCCCUCCCCUCCUCACGUGGGACGCAUAGUCGCAGGGGGACCUCCUCUGCUGCCGACCGUCGGUAUAGCUUAUCCUGAGCCACUACAAACCAGGCCGCCCUG
rnacentral:lncRNA from 1 species